UCCAGGAGAGGUGGCGCAUUCCUGUAAUCCCAGCAGCUCGGGAGGCUGAGGCAGAAGGAUCGCAAGUUCAAAGCCAGCCUCAGCAAAAGUGAGGCCCUAAGCAACUCAGUGAGACCCUGUCUCUA
rnacentral:sRNA from 1 species